rnacentral:rRNA from 1 species
CCUACGGGAGGCAGCAGUGGGGGAUAUUGCACAAUGGAGGAAACUCUGAUGCAGCGACGCCGCGUGAGGGAAGAAGGUCUUCGGAUUGUAAACCUCUGUCUUUGGGGACGAAUCAAUGACGGUACCCAAGGAGGAAGCCACGGCUAACUACGUGCCAGCAGCCGCGGUAA